UAUCAGUCAUGCAUAGCAUAUCAAUAAGCGGAGGAAAAGAAACUAACAAGGAUUCCCUUAGUAACGGCGAGUGAAGCGGGAAGAGCUCAAAUUUGAAAUCUUCAAGGUUUUACCUUGACGAAUUGUAGUUUAAAGAAGUGUUUUCUGUUGAAGUUUUGGUAAAAGUUCUUUGGAAUAGGACAUCAUAGAGGGUGAGAAUCCCGUAUUUGACCAUUACUUUCAGCUUUGUGAUACACUUUCAAAGAGUCGGAUUGUUUGGGAAUGCAGUCCAAAAUGGGUGGUAAAUUUCAUCUAAAGCUAAAUAUUGGCGAGAGACCGAUAGCGAACAAGUACCGUGAGGGAAAGAUGAAGAGAACUUUGAAAAGAGAGUUAAACAGUACGUGAAAUUGUCAAAAGGGAAGCGUUUGACACCAGUGUUGUUUUCUCGAAAAUCAAUUAAAAAGAGUUGGAUUUUGUGUUGUAUUGACUUUAUCAGCUUUCUUCACUCUUUUCCAGCUCUUUUUAAUGCACUUUUCGUUUAACAAGUCAACAUCAGUUUCUUUUGUUGUAAAAAGGUCAUUGGAAGGUGGCUUUCUCUUCGGAGAAAGUGUUUAUAGCCUUUGACUCAUGCAAUCGGAGAGACUGAGGUCUGCAGCGUAGAUCCUUCGGGGUUAGAUACAUUUGUGCUAAGUUAUAGCUUUUCAUAGACAACUUGUUGACUAUGUUUAGUCUUGUAGCUUACUCGCUUAUGCUAUUUUACCUACGCUUAGGAUGUUGAACUCUAUCACACACAG
rnacentral:rRNA from 1 species